rnacentral:rRNA from 1 species
CCUACGGGUGGCUGCAGUGGGGAAUAUUGGACAAUGGGCGAAAGCCUGAUCCAGCCAUGCCGCGUGUGUGAAGAAGGCCUUCGGGUUGUAAAGCACUUUCAGUGGGGAAGAAAGCCUUGGGGCUAAUACCCUCGAGGAAGGACAUCACCCACAGAAGAAGCACCGGCUAACUCCGUGCCAGCAGCCGCGGUAAUACGGAGGGUGCGAGCGUUAAUCGGAAUUACUGGGCGUAAAGCGCGCGUAGGCGGUCUGAUAAGCCGGUUGUGAAAGCCCCGGGCUCAACCUGGGAACAGCAUCCGGAACUGUCAGGCUAGAGUGCAGGAGAGGAAGGUAGAAUUCCCGGUGUAGCGGUGAAAUGCGUAGAGAUCGGGAGGAAUACCAGUGGCGAAGGCGGCCUUAUGGACUGACACUGACGCUGAGGUGCGAAAGCGUGGGUAGCAAACAGGAUUAGAUACCCUAGUAGUC